rnacentral:misc_RNA from 1 species
ACAAAAGGGAUUGUAAAAUGCGCGGGGGCGGGCGCAAGCCCGUUUUCGACGCUACAUCCCGAAAAUCCUGUAUUCACCCCAAGUUCCUUUCAAAAUUUAUACGAAAAUAAAACCUGCAAAAAAAGACCACCUCUGUUUUUGGUGGCGCUUAAUGCAAAAACGCGA